rnacentral:rRNA from 1 species
CUUUUCUUGUUUAUAAGUAGGAAAUAUAACCUGCCCACUGAAGAAUUUAAAGGGCCGCGGUAAUUUGACCGUGCAAAGGUAGCAUAAUCAUUAGUUUUUUAAUUGGAGGCUGGAAUGAAUGGUUGGACGAAAUAUAUACUGUCUUAAUUUAAAUUAUUGAAUUUAAUUAUUAGGUAAAAAAGCUUAAAUAAAUUUAUGGGACGAGAAGACCCUAUAGAAUUUAAUAAAUUAUAUUGUUUAUUAUUUGUGUUAAUUUGAUUACAAAUUUUAUUUAUUUUGUUGGGGUGAUGGAAAGAUAAAUUAAACUCUUUUUUAUUUAUAAUUAUAUUGAUAUAUAUAUUUAAUAGAUCCAUUUUUAGUGAUUUAAAGAUUAAAUUACCUUAGGGAUAACAGCGUAAUUCUUUUUGAGAGUUCAUAUCGACAGAAGAGAUUGCGA